GACGAACGCUGGCGGCGUGCUUAACACAUGCAAGUCGAACGGUAAGGCCCUUCGGGGUACACGAGUGGCGAACGGGUGAGUAACACGUGGGUGAUCUGCCCUGCACUUCGGGAUAAGCCUGGGAAACUGGGUCUAAUACCGGAUAGGACCACUGCCUGCAUGGGUGGUGGUGGAAAGCUUUUGCGGUGUGGGAUGGGCCCGCGGCCUAUCAGCUUGUUGGUGGGGUGAUGGCCUACCAAGGCGACGACGUGUAGCCGGCCUGAGAGGGUGACCGGCCACACUGGGAGUGAGAUACGGCCCAGACUCCUACGGGAGGCAGCAGUGGGGAAUAUUGCACAAUGGGCGCAAGCCUGAUGCAGCGACGCCGCGUGAGGGAUGACGGCCUUCGGGUUGUAAACCUCUUUCAGCACCGACGAAGCGCAAGUGACGGUAGGUGCAGAAGAAGGACCGGCCAACUACGUGCCAGCAGCCGCCGUAAAAC
rnacentral:rRNA from 1 species